CGAACGCUGGCGGCAGGCCUAAUACAUGCAAGUCGAACGGCUCUUCGGAGCAGUGGCGGACGGGUGAGUAACGCGUGGGAAUGUGCCCUUAGGUACGGAACAACACAGGGAAGCUUGUGCUAAUACCGUAUGUGCCCUUCGGGGGAAAGAUUUAUCGCCUUUGGAGCAGCCCGCGUUGGAUUAGGUAGUUGGUGAGGUAAAGGCUCACCAAGCCGACGAUCCAUAGCUGGUCUGAGAGGAUGACCAGCCACACUGGGACUGAGACACGGCCCAGACUCCUACGGGAGGCAGCAGUAGGGAAUCUUGCGCAAUGGGCGAAAGCCUGACGCAGCCAUGCCGCGUGUAUGAUGAAGGUCUUAGGAUUGUAAAAUACUUUCACCGGGGAAGAUAAUGACGGUACCCGGAGAAGAAGCCCCGGCUAACUUUGUGCCAGCCGCCGCGGUAA
rnacentral:rRNA from 1 species